AUUGAACGCUAGCGGGAUGCCUUACACAUGCAAGUCGAACGGAGUGGCGAACGGGUGAGUAAUGUAUCGGUACGUGCCCAGUAGCGGGGGAUAACUACGCGAAAGCGUAGCUAAUACCGCAUACUCUCGGAGCGGUAGAUAUCGGAUUAGCUAGUUGGUGGGGUAACGGCUCACCUAGGCGACGAUCCGUAGCUGGUUUGAGAGGACGACCAGCCACACUGGGACUGAGACACGGCCCAGACUCCUACGGGAGGCAGCAGUGGGGAAUUUUGGACAAUGGGGGAAAGCCUGAUCCAGCCAUCCCGCGUGUACGAAGAAGGCCUUCGGGUUGUAAAGCACUUUUAGCAGGAAGGCGGUACCUGCAGAAUAAGCACCGGCUAACUACGUGCCAGCAGCCGCGGUAAUAC
rnacentral:rRNA from 1 species